AUAUCUAAUACUAUACAUAUAAUUAUUGUGGGGCUCAAAGACAACAAUUAAUGCAGAGCUCAUUAAUACAAAACUUAGCCACCAAGAUACAUUCUUUAUAUAUCCCUCACCAGCCAUAUUUCUUCUGCAUCUCCUUUUCUCCCUCACCGGCCACUUUUCUUUCGGCACUAUCUUGCUUCACCUUGCUUUCUUGCUUCUCUUUCUUUUUCCAUUUUUCUUUCGGCACUUUCUUGCUUCAAUGUGAGCACUCUUUCUAUUUUGCUUCUCUUUCUUAUCUUUCUGUUCUUGCUUCUCUUUCUUUCCUCUUUUUUCUUUGUCAGCUUCUUGCACCUUCUUUUCUACAUUUUAAUGAGCAGCAGCUUCUUGCACCUUCUUUUCUACAUUUUAAUGAGCAGCAGCUUCUGUUUCUAUCUGUAAUAUUGGCAUAUUCUUGCUCUUUUCUCUAAGCUUCUUGCUUCCAAUUUUUAUAUUUUUUUUAUUUCUACCUAAACUUUUCAUUUCUACUCUAAGCUUCUUUCUCACAACUUCUUACAUCAUUUUCUUUAUUUUCUUUCUUUUUUAUAUUUUAGUUUUUUUUGUUUCUAUUUUAUAUAUUUUUUUCUAUUUUACAUAUUCGUUCUUUUCUUUCUUAUAUCUUCAGUUUAAUUUUCCAUCCUAUUUUAUGUGUUUAUAACUACAACUUUAGAUUCUUUCUUUCUUUAUUUUUUUUAUAUCUUCAACUAUAUUUUCUUCCUAUUUUAUGUGUUUAUUUCAGUUUUACAUCUUUAGAUUUCUUUUCUGCACUUCUAAACAAAAAUAGAGCAAAACCCCCCCCUAUUUUCUGCACUUCUAAACAAAAAUAGAGCAAAACAUUACUAUAAUCCCAUAUACAACAAACAGGUUUAUGAUAAUGACGAAAGUGCAAAAACACGUUUGAAAUAUGAAUAAAACAUGCAAAAAGAAACAACAGGUUAUCUGAAUAUGAAAUUUCGAAGAGUUUGCAUGAUAUAUGCUAAAUAAGGUUUAAGUAACUUACUCAGUCAAACAAAGGCAGAUUUCGGAGGUAGCAAAAAAGAAUGAUUUUUUUGUUCUUAUUCUUAAUCAAAAAUAAUUUCAAAGAGGCAGCAAAUAUUUCAAAUGGAUUUGUGUUAGCAACAAGUAAUGAUUUUUAGUUCUUCAUAUGUGCUGCCUCUUUGAUUUUUUUUGAAACAGCAAAGUAAACAAAAUUCCUGCAUUUUCUAUGAAACACGAAAAGCAAGAGCAAAUAGAUCUACGGAGAUCUAAAAAACGACAAGUAACAGUUUCAUGUGUAGAUAUUCAGAGAUCUACGAAAAUGAAAAUCUGAAAAACAAUAAACUAAUAAUGCGAAAAAAAAAUAAGAUGUCUGUAUAGGAAAAAAAAAGAAAAGUGAAGCAAUAUCAUCAAAAAAUAC
rnacentral:lncRNA from 1 species